rnacentral:rRNA from 1 species
GAUGAACGCUAGCGGCAGGCCUAACACAUGCAAGUCGAGGGGUAGAGGAAGCUUGCUUCCUUGAGACCGGCGCACGGGUGCGUAACGCGUAUGCAAUCUACCUUUUACAGAGGGAUAGCCCAGAGAAAUUUGGAUUAAUACCUCAUAGUAUAUAUCAUUCGCCUGUUUGGUAUAUUAAAGUUCCAACGGUAAAAGAUGAGCAUGCGUCCCAUUAGUUAGUUGGUAAGGUAACGGCUUACCAAGACGAUGAUGGGUAGGGGUCCUGAGAGGGAGAUCCCCCACACUGGUACUGAGACACGGUCCAGACUCCUACGGGAGGCAGCAGUGAGGAAUAUUGGUCAAUGGACGCAAGUCUGAACCAGCCAUGCCGCGUGCAGGAAGACGGUCCUAUGGAUUGUAAACUGCUUUUGUACGGGAAGAAACACUCCUACGUGUAGGAGCCUGACGGUACCGUAAGAAUAAGGAUCGGCUAACUCCGUGCCAGCAGCCGCAGUAAAAC